UCGCCUGCAUGAAGCUGGAAUUGCUAGUAAUCGCGGAUCAGCAAGCCGCGGUGAAUACGUUCCCGGGCCUUGUACACACCGCCCGUCACACCAUGAGAGUCGGGAACACCCGAAGUCCGUAGUCUAACCGCAAGGGGGGCGCGGCCGAAGGUGGGUCCGGUAAUUGGGGUGAAGUCGUAACAAGGUAUC
rnacentral:rRNA from 1 species